rnacentral:rRNA from 1 species
GACGAACCGUGCGAACGUUAUUCGGAAUCACUGGGCUUAAAGCGUGUGUAGGCGGGCGGGCAAGUACCUUGUGAAAUCCCACGGCUCAACCGUGGAACGGCUGGGUAUACUGCCUGUCUUGAGCCAGCUAGGGGCGACCGGAACAGACGGUGGAGCGGUGAAAUGCGUAGAUAUCGUCUGGAACGCCAAAGGUGAAAACAGGUCGCUGGGGCUGAGCUGACGCUGAGACACGAAAGCCAGGGGAGCGAACGGGG